AACGAACGCUGGCGGCAUGCCUAACACAUGCAAGUCGAACGAGACCUUCGGGUCUAGUGGCGCACGGGUGCGUAACGCGUGGGAAUCUGCCCUUGGGUUCGGAAUAACAGUUAGAAAUGACUGCUAAUACCGGAUGAUGUCUUCGGACCAAAGAUUUAUCGCCCAGGGAUGAGCCCGCGUCGGAUUAGCUAGUUGGUAGGGUAAAAGCCUACCAAGGCGACGAUCCGUAGCUGGUCUGAGAGGAUGAUCAGCCACACUGGGACUGAGACACGGCCCAGACUCCUACGGGAGGCAGCAGUGGGGAAUAUUGGACAAUGGGCGAAAGCCUGAUCCAGCAAUGCCGCGUGAGUGAUGAAGGCCUUAGGGUUGUAAAGCUCUUUUACCCGGGAUGAUAAUGACAGUACCGGGAGAAUAAGCCCCGGCUAACUCCGUGCCAGCCGCCGCAGUAAUAC
rnacentral:rRNA from 1 species